AAAACAAAUUGAUGAUUAAAUGGUAACUAAAUCACAAUCACUAGUUAUUACAAUGAACAAAGGGUUUCAACGGAAUAUAAAAUGAAAGCGAUUUUUGUUUUUCUCUGUCUGGAUCAUUGAUAAUCAGUAAUAAUCUUACGGGAUCUUAUUUUUUGUUAUUCUAAGCUUAACAGCUUAAGCUUAUUAAUACAUCUCCAAAGAUUUGCUUAUUUUGCUAGCAUCUUGAUGGAUCUCAUGUAUUUUUUUUUGUUUUCCCAAAUCUUGGUCUUAACUUGUCUACUUUUUUGACAACUGUCUAAUACACAAUCCAGUUUAAGUAUGACAAUUACCGUUCUUUUGUUGUCAACAGUUAGAUACUUAGUUAAAAUAAUUAGCUAAUUAAUAUUCUGGUUAAAUCAUAAUCCACUUUUUGCUUUCCUUUUUUUUGCUGUUUUCAACCCUAAAUGUGUCUUUUAUUUGCUUUAUAAUUUGAAUAAUGUCUUCAAUUAACAGUGAUUUUAUUAUUUUUACUCUUUUUGCAUUAAGGUUAACAAUCGUAAGAGCAACAAAAAAUUAACCAAUCCAGUCAACAUUAAAUUGUUCAUUUUUACUUUUAUUUGCAACAAACCUUGUGGCUAAACGUUAAUGUCGUAUAAUUAGCCAUUGGUGGUUAUUGUUACAGUUUAUAUCGAAAAGAUAACCAUUACUAUCGCAAUCCCGCUUAAACUGUGAGUCUAUUGUUUUGUUUGGUUACCAGUUACAGUAUUUCUGUGUUUAAUCGUCAACAAACUGCCUUUCAACAAUUUAAUUAUUCAAUUAAAUACAUUUAUAGUCAACUAACUGUGCAUAAAUGUAAACAUGUAAAUCACAAUGGUUUUUUCCUCAAAUAAUUAUCGGUAUCCACCAUUUGUAUGGAAUUAACAAAUGGAAACAAAUAUACAUCAUUUUGAUUAAUUUAAAUCAUCCACUGGCAAUGAUUGAUUAGUGAUCUGAAGAGAGUCGUCUUUUCGUAUAAUAUUAUUUUUAAUGGAUGAACACUUUUGGAUUAGACAAGUGACCAAAUCGGAAAAUUACACAAACAUAUGCACAGUUUACCCAUUAAUCUGCUCAAAGGGGUGAUUCAAUUGGAAUUACAAUAUGUUCACCAGUUCGUCUGGUAUUCUGCCUUUUUACACAUUUUUGCUAAUUACUAGCUUAGUAAUCAUCAACUGGUCAUUACUAUUUGACUUCAAUUGUUUCUCAUUAUGGACAAACAAUUAAACCUGGUGAACCAACCUGGUGAACUAGAAAACCGAAUAACUCUAAUUAUUGAUUAUCGUAAAAAAGACUGGAUCGACUAAAAUGAUUAAUGAAUUACGUUGAACAAUAAAAUGAAAAAGGAAACUUUGGGUGACUUUGGGUUAUCAUUAAAGACCUUUUCCUGACAAUGAUUCUGAUGAUGACAAUGAUUAAUUAAAUGUACUUUUUCUUAAACAGCCACGGACAGUUGAUAUAAUUGUUGAAAGCCAUACCUAAACAUCAAAGCUUGGAUAAAUUACAAGAGGAACAUUUAAUCACAAUUUAAUGGACACCAAACAUCAAUACAAAAUCAAACUGGACUCAAAGACUGUACCAAAACAAUGAUUAACUGAAGUCAAUGAUAAAUUGUUAAAUCUGUUACAGAUCUAAUUGGAAAAGUUAACAAUAUUGAAUGAUCAACUAUGAUUUGGCCAAUAAUCACAGCAUGUAAUGCCAGUGUCGAUUCCAACCCUCAAGAAUUACCAAUCAGUUAUUUAAGUUAGACUUUGAAUGUCACCUUUGCCAAAUUGAAUUUAGCAUUAAGAUUGUGAUUCCUAUUUUUCACUUUUAUCACUUAACUGUUUUGUGAUUAGCUAAAUUGCAUUACAAAGGCAACUCUACAAUACAGAUUAAUUCAACCGUCUUAUUACAGUCAAUUACUGGAUCCAUUUAGGUUCACCUUACAAAUGAAAAUUACAUUUCAUUUACGAAAAACUUGAGUUUAUUAAUACAAAUUGAAUUAAUCUGGAAUAAUCGUAAAUCUUGAUUGUUGAGAUACAAGUAGAGUUUAAAUGAUACUUGAUAUGAUUAUUGACUGUAAUAACUGUUAACCGUCCUGAGUAUUAUUGAUUUUGUUAUUUAAUAUUGUUUUCAGUGUCCCUGAUAAGGUUAAGUUUUUUUUCAUCAUGAAUAAAUCAAGAUGAGCUAAUAGAA